AGGAACAACGCUGGCGGCGUGCCUAACGCAUGCAAGUCGGGCGGGGUCGUCUUUCGGGGCGGUUCAGCGGCGGACGGGUGAGGAGCACGUGAUCGACCUGCCCAUGAGUGGGGGCCAACCCCGGGAAACCGGGGCUGUUACCGCAUGCGUCCGGCCCCUGGUGGGGGGGUCGGGGAAAGCCUUUCGGGGGCGCUCAUGGAGGGGAUUGCGUCCGAUUAGCUAGUCGGCGGGGUAACGGCCCACCGAGGUGACGAUCGGUCGCUGGUCUGAGAGGACGACCAGCCACAGGGGGACUGAGACACGGCCCCCACACCUACGGGUGGCAGCAGCGAGGGAUUUUCGGCAAUGGGCGCAAGCCUGACCGAGCAACGCCGCGUGCGGGAUGACGGCCUUCGGGUUGUAACCGCUUUUCCCCGGGGCGAAGAUGACGGUACCGGGGAAUCAGCCUCGGCUAACUACGUGCCAGCAGCCGC
rnacentral:rRNA from 1 species